GCCAGAGUGGUGCAGUGGUUUGAGCACUGGACUACAACUCUGGAGACCAGGGUUCAAUUCCCUCUUAGUCA